AAUGAACGUUGGCGGCGUGGAUUAGGCAUGCAAGUCGAACGCUUUAUGUAGCAAUACAUGAAGAGUGGCGUAAGGGAGAGUAAUACACAGUUAGCUACCCUUGGGUCUGGGAUAGCGGCGGGAAACUGCCAGUAAUACCAGAUGAUGUCUUCGGACCAAAGGUGUAAUUUCGCCCGAGGAGGUGACUGUGUCCUAUCAGCUAGUUGGCGGGGUAACGCCCACCAAGGCUAAGACGGGUAUGGGGCGUGAGAGCGUGCCCCCAUCACUGGGACUGAGAUACUGCCCAGACACCUACGGGUGGCUGCAGUCGAGAAUCUUCGGCAAUGGGCGCAAGCCUGACCGAGCGACGCG
rnacentral:rRNA from 1 species